rnacentral:rRNA from 1 species
CGUGCUAAUCUGCGAUAAGCGCCGGUAAGGUGAUAUGAACCGUUAUAACCGGCGAUACCCGAAUGGGGAAACCCAGUGUGACUCGUCACACUAUCAUUAACUGAAUCCAUAGGUUAAUGAGGCGAACCGGGGGAACUGAAACAUCUAAGUACCCCGAGGAAAAGAAAUCAACCGAGAUUCCCUCAGUAGCGGCGAGCGAACGGGGAGGAGCCCAGAGCCUGAAUCAGCAUGUGUGUUAGUGGAAGCGUCUGGAAAGGCGCGCGAUACAGGGUGACAGCCCCGUACACAAAAGCGCAUAUGCUGUGAGCUCGAUGAGUAGGGCGGGACACGUGGUAUCCUGUCUGAAUAUGGGGGGACCAUCCUCCAAGGCUAAAUACUCCUGACUGACCGAUAGUGAACCAGUACCGUGAGGGAAAGGCGAAAAGAACCCCGGUGAGGGGAGUGAAAAAGAACCUGAAACCGUGUACGUACAAGCAGUGGGAGCACCCUUUGGGGUGUGACUGCGUACCUUUUGUAUAAUGGGUCAGCGACUUAUAUUCUGUAGCAAGGUUAACCGAAUAGGGGAGCCGGAGGGAAACCGAGUCUUAA